GUUAAGUUCACUCACUUCACUGCAGGCGGCUCAGUGUUUCAUUGGUUUGAAUCCUGGGCGCGGACAUGGCACUGCUCAUCAAACCACGCUGAGGCAGCGUCCCACAUGCCACAACUAGAAGGACCCACAACAAAGAAUAUACAACUAUGUACUGGGGGGCUUUGGGGAGAAAAAGGAAAAAAAUAAAAUCUUAAAAAAAUAAAAAUAACAAAUAAAUAAAAAUAAAAAAAUAAAAUUAUUUUUAUUUCUACUUAUUUAUCAAUCUUUCUCUCUUUCCCCACUUCAUCAUCUCUUCCCUUCAGUUGUUUUUUUCUUUUCCCCAAAGCCCCCCAGUAUGUAGCUGUAUAUUUUAGUUUUGAGUCCUUCUAGUUGUGGCAUGUGGCUGCCGCCCCAGCAUGGCCUGACGAGUGGCGCUGUGUCCACGCCCAGGAUCCAAACCAGCCAAACCCUGGGCUGCCGAAGUGGAGCACACGAACUUAACCACUCGGCUACGGGGCCGGCCCCUGUUCCCUUUUUUCCCUUGUAGGAUGCCUUGGGAUAUGUGAUCAGUUUUGUGUGUGUGUGUGUGUGAGUUUUUUGGUUAGGAGGGAACAUAAGCCACAUGACCGUCUUUUCGUGUGGCCUGACUAUCUGUUCUUGUGUUUCGGCCAAAGCCUCACGUCUCAGGGAUGUGUUCUCUUCAGCCGCGGCAGAUGAGGCUCAGAUUUGGAGGACCCCCGCAGACAUAAACAUUCGAACGUCCCCUCUUUGAAUACACACUGAAAUAUUUAUGCAUGAAAUGAUAGCAUACAUGGAAAGUGGGUAAGUUACAGAGGAAACCAGAUCGACCACAACCUGACCAUUGUUGAAGCUGGGUGAUGAUACGUGAGGCUUCAUUAAACUAUCCUGACUACUUUUGUAUGUGGUUAAAAUUUUUCCAUAAUAAAAAGCUAAAUAAGAAAUAUACACACUUCUUUGUUUCGUGUUGCGGCAUCCAGGAAGCCAAACUGUUGAGUAUCCACAAAGCAGUAUCCCAAAGCAAUCUUGAGACGUGAGAAAACAGUAAAGUGGAUGCAACAGAAUAAUGUAGUAUACACGGCGGCGUCUCUCUGAGCACACUAGCCUAGGAUGCCCUGCUGACAAGGGAGUCUCUCUUCAUUGCAAGCUGUUAUUUUCCUGGUUGCCUGAAGACUCGACCUUCCGCCUCUCCUUUCCCCUCCAUCUCUCAGCUUGUAAGUUAACCUUCUCCCGUGGGCAGAGAGGGCUGCUCUUUCAGGAACCAGAAAGGAAGGAUGACAGAGCCCUCCAAAGCAGUGGUUUUCUUUCUUUCUUUUGUGCCACAACUCAGAGUAAGAAAUAGACUUUUUAUCAUCACAUACAAACACAACUGACACAUAAGUUUCACAAAAUAACACCCUUUACUCAGUGAGGUAUGUUCUCAUAUUUUCUGUUCUUGUUCUAUUCUAGGCUAGUCUAUUCCAAUAUUUUAAAAGGCUAUUGUGAUCCACUAAAUUGAUUUUGGGAUCACUAAUGGGUUGCAGCCUGCAGCUUAAAAAAAGUAUGGUUAAUGAAAAGAUACACUGGGCGGGAAACUUAACAUAUAAAAUAUCUGGCAAGGGGGUGAAGUCUCAGGCAGUUGGAUCUCAUUUGUAUCUGACAGUGGAAAAGGCCUCCACACUUUCUCUAAGUGGGUGGAAGGUCAGAUCCACAGUGCUAGCCAAAGAUUGACUCAAGUAUUAAAUUUCAGCAGAUGUUAACUGAUGUGCCUAUCAGCAGGGAGAAAUCCCAAGUCACAGGCUCAAGAUGGGACUGUGGUUGCAGUGGGCUCAGCCACAUACCAUUUUGUAGUUUCAUGGUGGUAAAGAAGGGAGCGGCCCUGUUGUUCACGCCCCACCACGGCUGUUGCUCAGUGGAGGCACCAGACGAUGGUGUGAGGCCAGGCAGACCUGAGGUGCGACACCAUAAACUCCUGAUUGCGAUUUAGAAAGAUCACCUAACCUUCCUGAGUCUAAGUUUUUCUCAUCAGAACAAGGAUAAUACUAUAUAAAAUGAGAUAAAAUAUAGCAUCCAGACAGAACCUGACCUGAGGGCAAACCCUCAAGGAAUGUCCUCAAUCUCUUCUUCUACUAACACAGAGGCCAUAGGAAGUUUCCUUCAAAGACUGCUCACUCUGGUGCUCUGUAUGACACAUCUGUCACCUCCACUUGGCCCAGAGGUUUGCUGGCCAAGAAAGGCAGAACUCACAAAUAGAAAUAAGCACAAAGUGCCAACUAACCAAGAGAGCAGCCACAUUUCCAGGCUGUCACCUAGGGAACAUCGCUCACCAGCUUUAGGACUCCAGUCGCUCAGUCACGAAGUGGAGAUAGGGGAAAUGCUACGUACUUCCAAAACUCUUGGCUUGUAUUUGUUAAACACAUUCUGCUUCCUGGACCCAGACUCAGACCCAUUGAAUCAUAAGCGUCCCAAGCCAAUGCCCAGUAAUUCAGCAAGUCCUUUCAAGUCUGCUUCCUAAAUCUCUCUUCGAGCCGUCUCAUUGCUUCUCCGCGCUGCCCCACCUCUACACCUGUCGGCUGGACUCCUGGCUUCCAGUUGUGCUCCUUCUCCAUGCAGUCUCCACUCUGCAGCCAGGGAGAUGGUUUUACAAUGCAAAAGUGACACAGAGACUUUAUGCAGAACUUCCAGUGACUUCUCUAUGCCCUUGGAACAAAGUCCAAACCCCUGACAUGUCUGUCCCCAAGGCUCAUCUUGAUCUGGGUAGUAGCAACCUUUGCACCUUCCUUUUUGAGCACCUGCCCCAGCCUCGUACUGCCAAUUGAGAGGCGGCAGGGACAGUGUCUCUCCUGCUAUUGAUCUUGGCCAACGCCCAGCACACGGCCUGGUGCACCCCAGGCACUGAGAGAAAGAGCAGUUAUUGAGCACCAACUCAACCUUUUCCCUGAAAUUAUAGUAAGUGACCUAUUUCUGGACACAAUAACUUCCACAUCCUAUUGCAAACUGUCUCUUAAAGUCUCUGUUGUAUUUUCUGCUGGUUGGUUAGGGAAUAAAUCAAUUGUAUUAUAGUUUCCAUCAUUUUAUAUUUCGCUACAAAGAUGGUGUCAAGGAUUUUUUUGGAGUUUGGAGAACAAAUAUAGUUUUGGUGCCUUUCCCACACUCCUCUAAAUACUCUGCGUGAACACUCUCAGUUACUCGUUAUUUCUAAAGCCUAGUCUUGCACAGACACAAUGGCCGAAGGUUCCCUUUAGCAGGAAGAAUGUCAUGCCUUAUGGUUUUUACACGCGUGUAAGCGUUUAAGUAUUUAAGUGCUUUGUGCUCUGAUUAGAGGUGUCUGUGUGUGAAGUGCUCUUGAACAAAAGUUGCGGGUGGUCAAAUGCACUUUAAUUGAAUAAUGUUCCAUAAUUAAGGCAAAACCACUUCACCUAAACAAUUAGCGUGAAGUGGUAACAGCAGCGGAGUUAACAGAUUUGCUUUUAUUUCAUCUGUGCUACUGGCGUUACGGAACAACAGAACUCUGGUGACUGCUGUCCUGCAGAACCUCAGCUCAGCAGUUUCGGCUCCAGGCCGUGCUAGGGCCCACCGCCCAGCUGCCUUCCUAAGGACGCGUCAAAGGCCGCGCUCACCGGGUCGAGUUCCCCCGACGGUUUAUUCAUAAGAUUGAAGAAGCAUUCAAAAUGGAGAGUUCUGAGGAGAAUGUGGGCAGUUUCCCCGAGAAUAGUGGUGCAUACUGGAAGAGAUCUCAUUCACAGAUUUUUCUAGAAUAGUGAUUUCCAAGUCACUGCUGAUUCAGGAUGCUCCCAAGUCGUUGGUGUGGCAGCUACAGGUGAGACCAGCUAGCCUGGGCAUCAGUGUAGGCAAAGGAAUGGUUGGUUGUUAGUUAGUGAAGCAGGUAACAGAAAACCCGAUUUACAAUGGCUUAAAGAACACUUUUCCCACAUAACUAUCCAGAAGUAGGGAAUUAUUUGCAUUGGUUCAGUAGGUCAAAGAUUUAGUCUGGGCGCUCUGGCACUUUCUCUUCUGGGUCUGCUGUCCUGAGUUUAUUGGUUUCCUCCUUGGACCUGUCACCUGAUGGUCACAAGCUACAGUUUCAGCCAUGCAUCAGCAUUCCAGGUAACAAAAAAGGGAGAGGAUACAGGCAAGCCACUGCAUCCCCGUCAUCAAGAGAACACAAAGCUUUCCCACAUUCUCCUACCCGCAGGCGUCUGCUUGGCUGGAACUGGGUCACACGGCCUGCGGGCUCCAGGGAGGCUGGGAUACUGGGGGACAAGACUGUCGUAUUUUCCCUAAACCCAUUCCUAUCAGGACAAAUCCCUCCUUUUAGAAAACAAAUAUUUUGUAACACUACUUUAUCCUGAAAAGCAAUGAAGAUCAUAUAACCCAACUAUAUCCAUAAUUUCAGAGUAAUGCCCUAACUAUAACAUAAAAAUAAGAAAUAAGAGGCAGGUAGUUUAAAAUAAAAUAUUAUGCAUUUCAGUGCAUAAUUGCCUCAGUGUGCCUCCACUAGAAGACACUGUCAUAGUCAGAUGUUGCACCUAUUUAUAAGAAAUGGUUGAGAAAAAAAAGAAAGAAGAUCAGAAGAUAUUCCACACAAGGACGGGAAGGUGAAAGAGCAGAGGUUCAAGUGCUCACUAGAAUACAAACCAGUGUAAGUAUAAGUAGUAACAAACCAGACUUGUUUGCAUAUGACAAAAGAAAGAGGGAGAAAAACCUUAACAGUCCAGACAAAUUACAGCCUAUGGAAGUGGAAGCGGUGAGGACUGUGACAUUCUCUCAGUAAGCUGAGCCUUAUUGCUAAAUGCAGCGUCAGAAUAAUUCUUUCUUUACUACAUGGGACAGGGAACGAAGUGCCAUAGAAAACCCAUUUACUAUUUAUAGAGUGACGUCUCAAAGACACAUCAAGAUAGACGCUUAGCCUUGAGGACCUGAAAAUCCCUUGGAGGCCUUGUGUUUCAAUAAGCAAUGGACUAGAAGGUGUUUUAGAAAAAAUAAUAAUAAAAAGGGCUGUAGAGAAGGUGUUUGGUGCAAUUCUGGCAAGAGGAUCAAAAUAAGCUUGAAAAACAAUAGGCAACCCCAAAAUAAAUAAAUGUCGUUAUUCUCACAAUAAUCCUAUCAUUACGCUAAAGAAAAAAAAUUUUAAAUACGGAUGACAAACACGAAAUUAUUUUGAAAACAAUUUUUAAUUAUGAAUUUAAUUCAAAUACUUGUGUUUCAUGCCUCUCCCUUUAUUUAAUAACAGUUGAGUCUAAGUCUUUUAACGGAGACUCAGAUCCCCUCAAUCCCACGCUCACACGUGACAGCUGCCUUGUUGGGGUGUGGCACUGUCAACUCAGACGGAGGAGUGAUGCCUGGCAGUGAUGCUAUUUUCUGUAAUUUGAACAGCUCCUGGUAAAUUUCAAAACAUAGCACAAACAACAAAGCAUAGCACAAUCUUUCUUAAAUUUACGCAAUAGCUGCAUUCUUGGAAAAUUUUAGUGUUUGUUAAAGCUGUGACACAAAUAUUUUGUGCUUAUAUACAAAAUGGAGUUAGAUUGUUGGGUGCAGAUGACACAGUUUUCUCUCCAUGAAUUUCCGGUGGGCUUAGAGCAUACACAGGGCUGGGCUUUGUGCUACACAACUCUCCCACACACGCAGGGCACCCAGCACCCCCUGCUCUCUGGCACCCUUCAAUCAUUCAGACAUUUACAAGCCCCUCCACACACACACACACAUUCCAAAGCACCUCCUGGUGUGGUUAACAGCCUUCCCAGAGAACCACCAGCUUAGGUGAAUCAUGGCCACCUUGGGUUGCCCACAAUGGCCCCAGGAACAAAAACACUGUUCUGGAGGCAAGGAGGAAGGGGGACAGACACUGCGGGCCAAUGAUGAUGUCAUGUCUGCCACAGGGAGUGAGUGGAAGGGAACUCAAGCAGGUCCCUUCUAAAACCCCUUAUCCUGGAGAAGGAGAGGCUGCAGGGAUGAGCGUCCACAGGGAAGGCGAAGGCGGCGAUCGGAGGACCUGAGGUAAGGUGUGACAGCUCAGUCCCGCCCGUGCCAGAGCCUCUGUACCGUGAGAAGGCGUCUGCGGCUCCCAGCAACGGCAGAUGGUGUCUCCAAAUGUGAGGCGGGUUCCCAGGGAGGGCGGUGGUGGCCAGGGCAGGGUAAGAUGCCCCAUGGACCUUGGGCUGCCCAACAAACUCGGAAAAGGAAGUGCAGCAUGGGGCUGGACUGCUCCAAAGCUGCCUCCAGCUGUCGAGUGCACUGACUUCCCACUUGCAACCAGACUUCUCACGUGGGAAAGCAGAACCACAGACAAUCUCGUCAUUCCCCUCACUAGGACUGCGGGGUUAAUGAGCCACACAGCUGCUGUUGGAAUCUGUCUCACCUCCCAACACUGGGCACACAGGAACAGCCCCUCUUUGUGGAGAAAAACCACCUGACAUACUGAAAUAUCUUUUUUAAGACGAAAGAGGGGGUUGGCCUGAAAAAUCAGAGCAAAACUGUUCCCUUCUGGAAGUAUCGCCUCAUGCCCAUUAUGAAGCCGUAAACCACCUCUAAUUUGUAUCCUCAGAGUCAAGGGUGCAUUGCCCCCAAGACGUGGGAGCAGUCAGACAGAAAAGGGGAGCACUGGGGCAGGAAGAGUGAUGACAGGUAGAAGACACAGCCGCCACGUCUGGACAUGCGUGGAGGCAGAUGGACAUGGUUGAUGCUAAACCAGGGCAAGAAGACAUGGAGACAUUUCCCCACAGUUGAAGAGAGAGAAAAAUGACACCAAGAGGUGAGAAACCACGAGGCAGAAGUCCAGGAGAUCUACACAUAUAAAAUAGAAACUUCCAGAAUGAGCAAACAGCAGAUGCAGCAAUUAAAUCUGAGUGCAAAGUCACUGUUCUUUUCUUUAUACUUUUUGCUUUGCUUUCUUUUCCUUCAAAUUUUCAUUGAAUGUGCCACUUAUAAACUCAGAAAACUAUAAAAGCACACAAUUAAGACAAGAGAAUCUGUUAAGAGGCCCUAUUGUCUUCAUCUUUCAGAAGAGAAGGUCUUACAGAGCCAGAGGGGAUCCCAGGCUGAAGGCCAGAAAUGAUCAGGUGUGACCCGUUUCACCCAAAGGGGAACACGAGCUCCGAGAGAAAGGUCUUCGCUUGUUCAUGUUUGCUCCCAGCUUCCCUUGGCCUCUGGGGAAGGCAGACCUGGUUCCCUGCCUGUGGUGCCCCCAGCAGCCUUCCACUCAGUCCAGUACAACCUCCCUUAUCUCAUUGACUGGGGCUCCCAGCUGGAGGGGAUCCAACCUCGUAAUGUUUAAUUCUAGAGCCUCUUGCACAGCCAGAGCUAGGGUCUGGAGUCUGGGGCUGUGAGCUUGAUAGCGAACCUGAAGUGAGUUCGCUCACCCCUUGCGCAGCAAGCCAAUCUUUGACUCCGGGAAGAAAGUAGGACUUUACUAUUGCACAGCGCUGAGCAAGGACAAAGGGCAGUGUGGGGACCUGGAAACGGCCACCCCAAGAUAUGUCUCUUUGGCAUGAGGAUUAUUUGAGGCUGGUUUCUUUGCAGACAGGAAAGCAACUGAAAAGUAGAACUUGCUUACCCUUUUGUUAAGAGACAAUUACAUUGUAAAGGAAAUCUCCAUCUGUAAAGAUAUCCCCCUCUCUACCAGGAAGAAGGGCAGAUGACCUUAUCUCUAGAAACUCUUAAUCAAUAACAAAGGCAAGGACUUAAAUCUGCAUUUUAUUGUGCUUGUCUGGUAACCUCCUGUAACUACUUCCCUCCCCCUCCCAACAUUGGCAUUUCUUUAAGGAUUAAGCAUCUUUCCUUAGGCUAGGAACUGAUUGCUGCGCUCACCUGUGACCGCCCAGCUCCAGACAAUUGACUUGCCUCCUGCUAUGCCCUCCGAGAUAGCAGACCCACUGUGGGAGGGACAUUUCAAUCAUAUGUGAAACGUCCUGUUUGGGGGUAUAUAACCACUCUGUAUACCUCACUUCUUCAGUGCCCUUUCUUCCUUCAGGAAGAAAUUCCCCGGGCUGUGGUCCUCAUAAAGCUUUGUUUAAUUUUCUCUUGCUAUUCUGUCUCAUGUGAAUUUAAUUUGUUCUCCGGCCAGAUGAACCCACAUUAGGUAGAGGAAAAGUCUUCCUCCCCUACAGCAGCUAAGGCUGAAAUCCCAAACUCCCUGGAAAGCUGAAAGAAAGGGUUUUUAUUUGGGGUUUUAGGUAGGGGGAGCAUAUGGCCUUGCUGGUCGGAGCUUGCCCACCAGCCUGUCUUUGGCCUUGAGACAACUUGCAGAGAGGAGGGAGCCUGUGACCUUGGCUGGUCAGCAGCUUUUGCACCAGCCUGUAUCUCUUUGUGGGGAAGAGAUAGUGAAUGCAGGUGCUUGUCCUUGGCCAUUUGUCUCCAGGGAGGAUAGUGGAUUCUGGAGCCAGGAAACCAGGGAGUAAGCAGGAAUAAGUUCUUUGGUUUUAACUUCAUGUAUGCUGGGUUUGAUGUAGGGAAAUUGAUAGCAGGGCUGGUAUCAAGCUCAUAUGGCUGACGGGGAAAAGUUUGGAGGUCUGAUAUCUGGAUGAGUCUGUGACUUUUAUGCAGUGGAAGCUCCAGACAUUCUGUCUCAGGGAAGCCCUGGCCUCAGUGGCUGGUCCUCAGGUAUUCAGGUUGCAAGAUAGGGCCUCAAAGCAACUCUCACAACUGGACAACAGCGUGAAUCACUUGUUCUGUUGGCAGUGUGUAGGUGAAAGGAAGAGUCACUUACCGAAUGGAUUUUCCAGUGGUCCACAGUGUUCUUUUAAGUAGAGGUCCAUCUACUGAUGAAUGGAUAGCCAGAAUGUGGUAUAUCCAUAAAAUGGAAUAUUAUUCAGCAAGAGAAAGAAAUGAAGUACUGAUACAUGCUACAGUAUUCGUUGGACCUUGAAAACAUGCUAAUUGAAAGAAUCCAUUCACAAAGGACCACAUAUGGUAUGGUUCCAUUUGUUUGAAAUGUCCAAAAUAGGCAAAUCUAUAGAGUCAGAAAAUAGAUUAGUAGUUGCCUCCGGAUGCUGGUGGGGUGGGGAGAUGGAGUGAUGGCUAAGAGGUAGGGGUUGUCUUUUUAGGCUAAUGAACUGUUCUAAAAUUGACUGUGAUGGGGGGUGCAUAACUGUGUGAAUACACAAAAAGCCCUUGAAUGGUACCCUUUAAAUGGUUGAGUCAUAUGGUAUAUGAUUAUAUCUCAAUAAAGCUGUUAAUAAAAAGGAGCUACAGGCUGUCACCCUUCUCUGGGCACGUGCUUACUUGAGAACGUUGCUGUCAUCUCCCCUCCAUGAUGCUCAGAGUCCUGGAUCGUGCUUCUGCUCUUGACGCCUCACUUGUGUUGCCCUAUUUAGAAUCUCCUGUUUUUAUUGAGCUCAGCUUUUCAACUGACUCUCAACUGUGCUUGCUCUUAAUUUUGGCAAGUCUGCCAACCUUGGGUGAGAAACCCCUGUUGCUUCUCCAGCCCCCUGGAGCCUCAUCAGCAGCCUCACCCAUGAUCUUACAUCACAGAUGGGGACUUCAGCAGAGACAGACUGGCAACUCUCUUCGUUAAUGGCUUUUCCUUAGAAUAGCUAAAGGAGCUAGGUUAUUUAUCAUCACUGCCACCACCUUCUGCGCAUACUGUCCUUUCCCAAGCAGCUUUCCACUCACUGUUGUAGUUGUUUUUUACAGCAAUCCAGUGAAGUGGACAGACUGAGUAUUGUCAUCCUUGAUUUACAGAUGAGGAAACCGAGCCCAAAGUGGUCAGCUGACUUGCUCCAGGUCACACACUGGAUCACACAACUCAGACCCUCUGAUUCCGGCUCCACUGUUCUUUCCACUGAUGCAGGACUCUACCACACGAAAUUCUUCAGCAUGAAUCCUUUACUCUAAAUAAAUUAGUUUCUUUGAUCUCUGCUCUGCACAUGUACUGAGCAAUUACUAUGUAGCAGACACUGCCAGGUGCUGGAGAAACAUUUGGGAAAAAGACACGGUCUCAGCACAACAGACUCUCAGAGGCGGUUGACAUGCCACCUGCUUCUCUUUCUUCAAUGUUACCACAGGUGCCUGCCACAUCCCUCACUACUACCCACACAUGGCAUGACUUCUGUCUCCUCUCCACCAGCUCAGUGACCACUUCACCUCAAAGGCUCCCUCCCUAGGACAGCACACCUUCCUGAUAAUACACAAUCUUCAGGGAUCUUUCUCUGCUUUCCUUUAGUGUUCCUUACAGUUUUUAAGUGGAGGCUGAAAAAGGGAAAAUAAAUUAUCCUUUAAGUUCAAAAGGGCUCAGAGCAGAGACGUGCAAAGUCACUUUAGAGAUAGAUAGUGGCUCCCAGAUAGCCAGACUGCUGAUGACUUAAUCAAAUGUCCUAAAGAAAGAAAGUGUCAUUAAGAGGGAAUUGGUUGGCCAUGGAAAUUAGAAGAAGAAGAGUGGCUGAAGCAAAUAUUACUAGCGCCCACUCAAACACUACCCAGGGAAGUGAGUGCCCAGUCAAUGUUGGGGACAGGAAGAUCUAUUGUAGAGAUCGUCCAAUGGGCCAUCCAAAUCUGCUGGGACCAAGCCCCUGACUCCUUUAAUCCUGCCCCUUGCUCUGACUCUAGACAGAUCAGAUGACCACUAGCUAAACUGGCUUCCCUCGCCUGCAGGAAAGAAUGGGCUGCUCGGGCUGAUGUGUGCAUCUAGCCCAACUGACUGCUCUAUUUCUCACUGGAAAUUACUAAGUGAGUAUGUGGCUUUGUACGUCAGCCUUUUAUGACCAUGAGUCAGCCUUCAGUCAAAUCUGGGGCCCUCUCAAGACUGAGUGUCUGACCAGCCAAGGCCAAAGGCAGGACUCUGGACCACUAUAAAUGGCCAAGGAAAAUGGUACCUCAAGCAGCUGAGUGAGUGACAUGCCUACUUCCUUCAAACCCCUAAACUUAAUGACAAAUGCUGGUUGGUAGAUGCAUUAUCCCAGGGGGAAGGUUUGAAGUAAAAUCUUUACCCUUGCUUGCCAAAGGCCUAAGCACCUCUGUAAUUUUAGUUGUUGUUAUUGAUUUUGCUUGCUAUUGUUUCAGUAAAGCCAAACCAUCGAGGCUAUGACAUUUGACAAGGAUGGAAAGGAUGAUCAUUUAAGCAAACACGCAUUUGAAAAUAUAUUUAGUCGGGCCGGCCCUGUGGCCGAGUGGUUAAGUUCGUGCUCUCCGCUGCAGGUGGCCCAGUGUUUCAUCAGUUCGGAUCCUGGGCGGGGACAUGGGACUGCUCAUCCAGCCAUGCUGAGGUGGCAUCCCACAUGCCACAGCUAGAAGGACCCACAACUAAGAAUAUACAACUAUGUACUGGGGGGCUUUGGGGAGAAAAAGGAAAAAUAUAUAUAUAUAUAUUUAGUCAUAACCAUAUUUGGUGGGCAAUGUCUUUACUCAAUAUUUGAUGUUAUUUUCAACAACUGGCCUUCCUGAAUCCAUUUUAAAGCUCCAAUUUCGCAACUUCAGCAAGAGACCAUCUGCAGAAGUGGGCUGUCCACCGUCUCUGUUUCGCUGGCGUACGGUUCGCCUGUGCAAGGAAGUUCAUUUAAGCCAUUUAUUGGAAGAGGAAUGUCUGGUUUAGUCCAUGGCGACUGCCAGAGGUCACCGUGAACAACCAGCUGGCAUUCUGAAGACAGCUCUGUGCAGAUGCAGAAGGCAUGCUCGUGUGGCUGGGCUCAGCGAUGGAUGAGGAGUCACUUACGAUCAAGACUCUUCGAGCCUCAGAGAGAAGCAUCAGAGUUGGAGGCUAUUCAAAGAAUGUGGGUAAUAUUAACAACGUCAACAAGAAGGAUCUGUAGGUCCGAGGCCCACUGAGCUCCCGGGCGCAUCCAUUCCUCAGUCCUCCACUUUGCCCUCUGUCCACUGCUGGUCUGAUGUCCGUGGAAGUCCUUCCGUGCCAGCACUUCUGAAUCUACGGCUGCCGCGUCACAGAACCUGACUUCUGGUGCAGCCCCGCUUCUGACCUACCUGGGGCGCGUCUGCUUGUCGACGUUGACCGAGGGGUAGCUGUUGAGCGGCCGGUUCCGUCUUUCUGGGUGAAGAAGGGCCCCUCUGCUAACAUUUCGCGACUCUUUUUCAGUCCUGAAAUCAUGACGUCUCUCCCUCGGUCUCCUUUGACUCCCUGAAGAUGCUGAGACAACAUCUCUCUGGGAUGAUUUGGAAGAAGUUUGGUGGCGCCAGACAGUGUCUUACGCUCUAAGAUAAUUAAAAUCAUGAUCCAUAUACAUAUAUGUUAAACAUCUUAUUUUACUCACUAAUCAAUGAAGGAAACAUUGAUUCAAUGAAUCAAUGAAAUAACUCAAAGAACAGCUAUAUUUAUAGAUCAGAAAUAUUGAAAUGAAUGUGUAAAUAGAAGCAAACUGAUUUCACCACAGAGGCUGGGGAAAUCAAUGAGAGCCCUACCAGACAGGACAGAAUUUGCAUGUCAGAGGAUUAUUUUGCAUUACUAUCAAUUACUUACAACUGAAAAGGUUGUAAAGUAGCUCAAAGGUAAUGAAAGAUUAGAAUCAGACGACCCAAGGGCUUUCCUCCAGACAAUGCCUAGUUUCCCAGUAAAGCACAAUUCCUUUCCUACAACCACCACAGCAUCUCUCUCCCCCGGCAGCCAAGCAAGUGCCAGGCAUCGCUCACACUGAAGAGCCUUAAUGCCAGGUUGCUCGGGAUUAACACUAGUUCCAACAUUCCUUUUUCCUUGUUUCUCUCAGGACCACCUGGUUCUUAUGUAGAUGGGGCUCCGGGAGGCCUGCCACGCCUGCCAGGGUUCCCACACGGGGCAGAGAGGUGAGGCCUCCUGUGGGACAGAUGCUUCCUUUGUGUUGCUGUAUUGGGCAGGGGAAUGGUGGAGGUCGAGGACUAGGGGCGGAAGCUGCAGGGGACAGGACAGGACCUGGUUGUGAAGUGUCUUCUGUGCUAUGCUAAGGAUUUUGGUCUUGACCCCAAAGGCAGUGGAGAACAACCAUAGUCUUUUGAAGAGGUUAGUGAAGUGAUCAGGGCUGGAUUUGAAUGAGAUAACUGGAGGUGGCACGAAG
rnacentral:lncRNA from 1 species